rnacentral:sRNA from 1 species
GCCCAGUUGGAGCCAGGGGGAGCAGGGGAGUAAUCACCUGAACCCGAGCUCGUGCUGAGGACAACGACCACCCAAUCUCCCUCAUUCGCGAUCCCAACACCAGAGAACUUGGUGUCAUUCAGAUACUGGUUGUACUGUGACUUGGUGUAGUUGGUCAGAACCACAUCAGGUACAAGUCCGGGAACGCAGGCCGGCAUCACCUGACCGUCUCCGGUCACCGACGCGUUGAGAUGGCAAUGGUCGAGGUACUUUGGGUAGUCGGGGAACUGCUGCUCGGUGCCAGGGACAGUGUUUGCUCCGGUGGUGUUGGUGCAAGGUUGGUCUUUGAAUUGCUGUGCUAGCUGCUCAGCCAAGCAGGCAGCAUUCUUGUUCUCGGAUAGCGCAGGGACUUUGAGGGAAGCUCUGUAGCUGUUGAUGCCCUUGAGAAGCUGUGAAUCACUUCCUGGAAAUGGG